UACGGGGGGGAGCAAGCGUUGUUCGGAUUUACUGGGCGUAAAGGGCGCGUAGGCGGCCACCGCAAGUCGACUGUGAAAUCUCCGGGCUUAACCCGGAAAGGUCAGCCGAUACUGCGGGGCUAGAGUGCAGAAGGGGCAACUGGAAUUCUCGGUGUAGCGGUGAAAUGCGUAGAUAUCGAGAGGAACACCUGCGGCGAAGGCGGCAUCCUGGACCAACACUGACGCUGAGUGAGCGAAAGCCAGGGGAGCAAACGGGG
rnacentral:rRNA from 1 species